rnacentral:misc_RNA from 1 species
GAUGAAGAACGCAGCAAAAUGCGAUAAGUAAUGUGAACUGCAGAAUUCAGUGAAUCAUCGAAUCUUUGAACGCACAUUGCGCCCGCUGGUAUUCCGGCGGGCAUGCCUGUUCGAGCGUCAUUUCAACCCUCAAGCCCCCGGGUUUGGUGUUGGGGAUCGGCUCUGCCCUUCUGGGCGGUGCCGCCCCCGAAAUACAUUGGCGGUCUCGCUGCAGCCUCCAUUGCGUAGUAGCUAACACCUCGCAACUGGAACGCGGCGCGGCCAUGCCGUAAAACCCCAACUUCUGAAUGUUGACCUCGGAUCAGGUAGGAAUACCCGCUGAACUUAAGCAUAUCAAUAAGCGGAGGA